AUUGAUCCUGCCGGACCUGACUGCUAUCGGAUUGGUACUAAGCCAUGCGAGUCGUUGUAGCAAUACAUGGCGGACUGCUCAGUAACACGUAGUUAACUUAACCUAUGGAUGGGAAUAACCUCGGGAAACUGAGAAUAAUACCCAAUGGGCCACAGUGCCUGGAAUGGCCUGUGGUUGAAAUGAUUUAUCGCCGUAGGAUAGGACUGCGGCCUAUCAGCUUGUUGGUGAGGUAAUGGCCCACCAAGGCUAUAACAGGUACGGGCUCUGAGAGGAGGGGCCCGGAGAUGGGUACUGAGACACGGACCCAGGCCCUAUGGGGCGCAGCAGGCGAGAAACCUUUGCAAUGUGCGAAAGCACGACAAGGUUAAUCCGAGUGUCUCCUGCUAAAGGAGUCUUUUGUCAGUUGUAGAAUCACUGGUGAACAAGGGGUGGGCAAGUUCUGGUGUCAGCCGCCGCGGUAAAACCAGCACCUCGAGUGGUCAGGAGGUUUAUUGGGCCUAAAGCAUCCGUAGCCGGUUGCAUAAGUUUUCGGUUAAAUCUAUGCGCUUAACGUAUAGGCCGCCGAAAAUACUGUGCAGCUAGGGAGUGGGAGAGGUACACGGUACUCGAUACGAAGGGGUAAAAUCCUUUGAUCUAUUGAAGACCAACUGUGGCGAAGGCGGUGUACCAGAACACGU
rnacentral:rRNA from 1 species